rnacentral:rRNA from 1 species
AUGUACUCACUUUCACCUCAUUUUCUUGUAAAUACUGAUGGUAAUCCCGCAGGGCGGUGUCUCAAGUUACAAUUUAUGAAGUUGCUGCAGCAACAUGAGAAGAUAGCUGAAACCAGGCACAUUACUGUGUUAGAACCAAAGCUUGUAAAAUUGCCACCCUUAUCAAAACAGGAUUGUUCUUGGUUCUUCAAGACAAAAACCGAAUGCACCUACAGAGAAAUAUGGGUAUUAUAUCAUGCUUGUGCGUGGAGGGAAGCUGGCAUCACCAGCAUCUCCCGUGGACAAGGAGGAACUUUAGGAGGAGCAUGUGGACGACGGCUGCCUCGAGCAGAAGAAGCUCUCAAUGUGCACAUAACCUGCAUAAGUUACAAAAUGAUCCACCAGUAA